rnacentral:rRNA from 1 species
UACGUAGGGGGCAAGCGUUGUCCGGAUUUAUUGGGCGUAAAGAGCGUGUAGGCGGCCAGGUAGGUCGGCUGUGAAAACUCGAGGCUCAACCUCGAGCUGUCGGCCGAAACCAUCUGGCUAGAGUCCGGAAGAGGAGAAUGGAAUUCCCGGUGUAGCGGUGAAAUGCGCAGAUAUCGGGAAGAACACCCGUGGCGAAGGCGGUUCUCUGGGCAAUUCCUGACGCUGAGGCGCGAAAGCGUGGGGAGCAAACGGG